rnacentral:rRNA from 1 species
GAUGAACGCUAGCGGCAGGCCUAACACAUGCAAGUCGAGGGAGAGGUUACCUUCGGGUAACCAAAACCGGCGCACGGGUGCGUAACGCGUAUACAAUCUGCCUUUCACAUAGGGAUAGCCCGAAGAAAUUUGGAUUAAUACCUAAUGGUAUAUAAGAGCGGCAUCGUUUUUAUAUUAAAGCUACGGUGGUGAAAGAUGAGUAUGCGUUCUAUUAGCUAGUUGGAGAGGUAACGGCUCCCCAAGGCGACGAUAGAUAGGGGUUCUGAAAGGGAUGUCCCCCACACUGGUACUGAGAUACGGACCAGACUCCUACGGGAGGCAGCAGUGAGGAAUAUUGGACAAUGGUCGGAAGACUGAUCCAGCCAUGCCGCGUGCAGGAUGAAGGUCCUAUGGAUUGUAAACUGCUUUUGUAGGGAAGAAUAAGGAGUACGUGUACUUUGAUGACGGUACCUUACGAAUAAGCAUCGGCUAACUCCGUG